GUGCAGCAGUCGCGAAACCUCCGCAAUGCGGGAAACCGCGACGGGGGGACCCCGAGUGCCGUGGCAACGCCACGGCUUUUCCGGAGUGUAAAAAGCUCCGGGAAUAAGGGCUGGGCAAGGCCGGUGGCAGCCGCCGCGGUAAUACCGGCGGCCCGAGUGGUGGCCGCUAUUAUUGGGCCUAAAGCGUCCGUAGCCGGGCCCGUAAGUCCCUGGCGAAAUCCCACGGCUCAACCGUGGGGCUUGCUGGGGAUACUGCGGGUCUUGGGACCGGGAGAGGCGGGGGGUACCCCUGGGGUAGGGGUGGAAAUCCUAUAAUCCCAGGGGGACCGCCAGUGGCGAAGGCGCCCCGCUGGAACGGGUCCGACGGUGAGGGACGAAGGCCAGGGGAGCAAACCGGAUUAGAUACCCCGGUAGU
rnacentral:rRNA from 1 species